GCUCAAUUUUCUUCAUGGUUAUUAUAAUAGCACAUACCUGAAUAAAAUUAAAUAAUAUUUAUAAAGUGUUUUGCACAGAGUAGGUACUUAAUAAAUGCUUGUUUCUUCCUUCAUAUCCCUGGGCAUUAGUACAAUGCCCUGUCCUAUAAUAGACGCUCAAUACAAUCUUGUUGGAAUGAAUUGAUCUUAGCUUGAUAUAAAUAUAAUUCAUAACUCUUAGAGCUAUCCAAAAAUAGAAAGGAGUAUUUUAGCAGGUAGAAGUCCCUGACACUGGGGAUUUUCUGGCAGAAUAUGGAAUGGCCACUUAUUGAGAUGUUGGCAGGAUCCAUGCUUUGGUCCUGGGAUAGAGUAGAUGGAGCCCCUUCCAACUCCAAGAUUUUAUGACCCUAUGCUAUGCCAUUAUUCAGAAUUAGUUACAUUUCAUAUGAUGGCAUAAAUUACAAAAGGUGUAAAAAAAAAGAAGUAAAAAUUCAAAAUGGUAGCCUUAAAUUUGAUAGCAUUAAAGGAUUCUAAAAUAAUAGGUAUAGUCUGAAGCUUUGCAAAGGGACCAAUCUUUUUUUUAAUAAAAUGACAUCAAUUUCUAAAAAGCAUUGUCCUCCUUGACAUGCUGCAUAACACAGAUAUAAAAACAUGAAUAGUACAAAAUUCCUUAUAUAGAACAUAUUUUAAUAUAUUACAUUUGUUUCUACAUAAACAGGCUAUAUAAAUACUGUAUUGCCAUAUCAUGUUUUAUAGUCAUAGUUCCCAGAAUUUCACACUAUAGUACAAAAAAAUACAUUUUUCUUUUUCUUUUCUUUUUUUUUAAGAAAAGGAAUAAGAAGGCAGAAAUUCAGUAGAAAUAGCUUCAUAUGUUAAAAAAUUUAAAUGUACAGUGGAUGCUAUUAGAACUCUGGCUACAAAAACAUAAUUUGGAAGCUUGGCAAACAAUGAACAAAUCUAAGUCCAUUGUCCCUGGAGGAGAAGUGGCCAAAGAACUAAGAUAUUGGAGGGAAAUGGAAAAACAAAUCUCUUCCUUCAUGGUACUGCCUCGAGUCUAAUAGUGUUUGGUCCUUAACAAGAACACUUCUCAUAAAGCCACAUGUGCUCUUUUUCCAGGGAAAGACCAACAAGAGUACAAAGGAUUCUGGGUCUGAAGUCUUAUAAAUAUCUGGGAGCUUCAGCCUGAAAGUUUCCCUUUCUUUGUGGUAUUCUGAAUAAAAGAUUAAUCUAGGAGACACGGAACUAGAGUCAUAUUUUUUCCUUCCUGGAGUUAAUUCCGCCUGGAACUACAUAAAGACCCAGAAGGAUCUCUCAUUUAGCACAGUCGGAAACAGCAUAAGGGAUUCUCGUUUAGCACAGUUUAGAAGAAAACCUGCACUCGCUAAUCACAAUACCCUCAUCUGAGAUCUUGAAAUUUGUUGUAAAAUUUGUAGUAAAUCUCCCUCCCAGCUUCUUGUCAAUCAGUUUCAUGUAGGGGCUCCCAUAUCUAUUUGAAACAAUUUAAUAUCAUCAUCCACUUCCCCAAGGCUCAGUUCGAGACCCAUCUUUCCUAUAAAACUUUCCUAGACUACGCGCAAUCCACCAUAACAUUUCAUUUUCCCAAAGUUCUAUAGCUCUUGUAAUGCCUUGAAUUAUUCCCCAGUCAUGUCAUACAUGUAUCUUGAUUCCCCAAGUCAUUUUGCAAGUUCCUUGAGGACAGGGACCACUUCUUCUACUUCAGUUGCAUUGGCCAAAGCUGAUCACAAAGCAGAGACUUCAUAAAUGCUUUUUGAAGAAAUGUAUGAAGAGAGAAGAUAAGGCUAAGGUAGACAAUGUGCCUUCAAAACAUUCAUUGUUGAGUCACCAACUUCUUUGCCAUUUACUACAGUCCGACUGGCUUCCCGGUAACUGAAGUCCUCCUCUUUUUUGUACAAGGAUCAAAAAUGUGCCGUCUCCUUGAUAGGGAAACAAAAGCAUUCAAUCUCUGAGCAGGGUCUCUGCAGGACAAACCUUUCCAGUUGUGGAGGGACGGAGGCAACUCCUUGGCUUUAAACCGGAGGUGAGCUUAACGGCAUCCAAGAGUCAGGUUGAAGUGUGUGUGCACUGCAGGACUGAGGCUCACUUUCCCCAGGAUUUAAGAGUUCUGUCUCUUCACUCAAAUAAACAGUGGUGUCUGUAUCAUCAGAAUGAUAACCUGACUGGUAACCGCUGGUCUGGUUCGAAGCUUCAGAUGUCACAGACUCUUUGCUUUUACUGGGCAUUAGUGCACUAGGGAAGAAAGGAUGACCAAGUGAGCAGAUCAAAUGAAGGUUGUUCCCUUGUUCCCAACCCUAACCACAUGGGGCCUUGUAAUCUCCCUAGAGAGCAAU
rnacentral:lncRNA from 1 species